rnacentral:tRNA from 1 species
GCCCAGGUGUUGGAAUUGGCAGACAAGCUGGAUUUAGGUUCCAGUGCCCCUAGCGGCGUGCGAGUUCGAAUCUCGCCCUGGGCACCA